ACCCACGCGGCGCAGCUCCCAAAGUUGCAGACAGCCCGGCGAACCGCGCAAUGCGCUUCUUCUGCCUGCAGCAGAGAAAAGGAAAGAAAACUCCGCAGGGGCUCCGUUGGCUUCUCCACGAGUGACAACCAUGUUUUCCCAGAUAGAAGACCGGAGCCCUGCUCCUUUGCGAUCCGCCGAGGGCUGCAGAGAGCAUCCUCAUCCAUUUGGGCACCCCUGCCCAGGAAGAGCCCGGCCAUCCCUUUCCGGACUGGAUCCUUAAGAGGUGAAUUUUCUUCCGUGGAUUCCGAUUUGCUCCGUCUGACCAGCCUAGGCAAUCCAGCAUCGCGUGGUACCAGUGCCGCUGGGCACACUGGCUUCACGCCGGCUCCGCCUCACCAGCAAGCGCAUUCCCAGGUGGUCAGGCUCAGGAUGGACCAUGAGCUUUCAAAAAGGAAAAAGGUGGAAAUCCUCAACUAUGCUGCCAUCUGAAUAAGUGUUUCUUUGUAGAUGCACAGAGUCAAGGAAAAUUACAUCCCUGCAUUAUGUAAUGUACCAACAACGCACUUACCCACUGUUUUAAUCUAGGUUAUUCUUGAAAGCAGAGCCUGAGACAAAGGUAGACACAUUCUAUUUAUGAGUCUAACACCCAGGAGCAGGAAUGAGAGAUAGGGGAGUGAACUGGGGAAAAGGGAAACUAAGUCCGAGCAAAACCAGAUACUGCUCUUAUCAAGUGGUCCACCCCUAUUAAUGGCUACAUAAUGCAGAACUUUCUCAGGAUUCUUCUUAAACUUUAUCUCAGAACUGUCUGCCUCAGGGAGAAAGGAGAAGUAUUUCUCCAUCAGCAGCCACCUCCUGUGUGUUGAGGGCUGCUCCUUUGGGGCAUUAACCCACUGCCUCCACCACCCCAACCCUCUGGGCUGCAAAGAGCUAGCUGACAGUCCAGCUGGUACCUUAGCAUCACACAUUGCUGCAUCAGAGAGGUCUUAAGACAGGAAGCUAGAGUCUUGGUGCAUGCUCGAAGUGAGACGGUGUCAGCACAGAGCAGGGUAAAAUCUUCCCGUUAACUCUUCACCAGAGCUAUGACUGGAAUCAGAGGUUGAAAAGAUGUGAGACUGUACCCAAGAAGCAUCUUAUAAGCCUACGUAAUAUACUGUUAGACUCAUCGAAAUCUAUUUCCUCCCUUCUUUAUAAUCAAAACUUCAGUGUCCAGAAUAAAGUUGGCAGAAGGGUUAAAUUGGAAAGUUAAAUGUACUAGAAGGUGUACAUUUAUAAGUUUUGACCUUGAGUCGUGUUCAAGGAGAAAGUGACAUUGGAACUUGGAAAAUUUAAAAAUGAUUCUACUUGAAAAAUUUGACCAUUGCAUAGAAAUAUUAGCUAUCGUCUAAUCUUUUGUAAUCUUAGAAACAAUCGUGAAUUGUUUGGUGAAAAAUGAAAAAAUAACCAUUUCUUAUGUCUCCGUGACCUUUAUAGACCAAUGUCACCAACUUUUCCUAAGGUAAUUGUUUCCUACUGUCAAAUAGCUCUAGUGAUAUAAAUCUUAACAAUCAAUGAAGGGAAAACUGGUGGAAACAUAGGAGGAAAAAUACUGGGAUAAUUUUCAUCACAAAGUAUUGGCAUUAACAUUGGUUAGAAUAGGGGAGAAACUGCAUGACUUGACAACUGGACAUUCCUGUAUGUUGUAUGAGGCCCUGUCUUAACAGAAAUAGUGAUGUCAUCAUCAUCCUCUCUUAUUUGGUCUUGAAUUGCCACCAAUCGGAUAAAACCUUUGAAUUAUUUAACUCAAUAUAUGUUAAGUUUCUACUAUGUGCUGUGUAUUGGUACUAUAAAUAUGAAUAAGACAUAAGAUAUUACAUUCAAAAACAUCAGAAUACAUGUUCUUUUAAAGUAUACCCCAAAACAUUUACCAUGUGUUCUGGGGCGCAUGUUAGGCUGGAUCACAAAUCAAGUCUCAAGAAUUUCAAAAGAUUGAAAUCAUAUAGAGUAUGAAUUAAACCAGAAAUCAAGUACAUAAAGGUAACAAAAAAUUUCCAAAAUGCAUUAAUUUAAGGAACAUACACCUCAUGACCCAUGAGCCAAAAAAUAAAUCACGGCAAAAUUGCAAAAAUAUUUUGAAAUGAAUUUUAAAGAAAAUACUUAGCAUAUUAAAUACUUAGCAUAUUAAAGCUCUAAGUACAUAUGUUAGAAAUUUUACCGAAAGGUUGGCUAUCAGUGUUUCCAGAAGCCAGGGAAAAAGUUUAUACAAUUUGAUCGCUGAGGCAGGGAAACAAAGUGAGACCUCCGAUCGCCCUGCCUUUCUGAGGUGAGCACUCUGGAUCCCAUCGCAGGAGAUCAGAGUCUUGCUGAGUUGAGGAGAGGAAGAUUGGAGUUGAUACUGAGAUAGCUUGAAUUUUCAGGACAAAGUAUCAACAAGGAGGAAGGUAGACAAAAAAAUCCAGAAAUCUAUGUAGAGACCCCAUUGUGUACAUUGCGGAACACUAAGCCUAACAAUUCUCAAAAUUAGCGUGAGAUUGGGAAAUAUCUAAUUUCCAUCCAGCCACAGUGGAGAGUCCUGACUGAAAACCAGGCAUUCGCUAAAGAUCCCAGAAAGGUUGUGUGUUACAUACGUAGGGCUAAACUAUCCUGACUAAAAACUACACUACACUUGCUCCUCACCCCCACAAAAAGCUUAAAAACAAGCCUCAAUAGUAUAAAGCUGAUCUGUAAGUAACUAAACUACCUGCAGAACAAAGUCCAAAUUUAUUAGUUCCAGUACUCC
rnacentral:lncRNA from 10 species